rnacentral:rRNA from 1 species
CAAUAGCGUAUAUUAAAGUUGUUGCAGUUAAAAAGCUCGUAGUUGGAUUUCUGGUCGGAAGCUCCUGUCCUCUGAUGAGCGUACAAGUGCGUCCUACCAUCCUUCUGUUAACCUUUAAGGCUUUCGCGGCUUUCUAGGGGCUCAGAUAUUUUACCUUGAGAAAGUUAGAGUGUUUCAGGCAGGCUAGCGCCGGAAUACAUUAGCAUGGAAUAAUGGAAUAGGACUUUUGCCUCUUCUGUUGGUCAUGAGGCUCGAGUAAUGAUUAAUAGGGAUAGUUGGGGGCAUUAGUACUUAACUGUCAGAGGUGAAAUUCUCGGAUUUGUUAAAGACUAACUUAUGCGAAAGCAUUUGCCAAGGAUGUUUUCAUUAA